CAGUUUGUAUGCAACAAAUAAAGCCUAACAAAUGUAUGCUAAACUGUUUAAAAGUCGAGAAAAACCAAAGCUUUCUUCGCCACAUAGGGCCAUGUGCCACCAUUUACUGUGUGUGGGGGUGGAGCAUGGCUUGAUUGAGCCACACCAUAGAUAUUAGAGUAAAUGAAAGGGAUAGGAAACUUCCGUUGCGUGGGCGGAUUAUUUCAUUAAGAUUAUUAAGUUGCCUAGCAACAUAGGCAAGUUACCCUUCCCGGGCCUUUUCCUUCACUGUUCGGCGUCCUAUUUCAACUCAUAACUCUAAAGUGACUUAUGUUUAUCCUCUGCAAUGAUAGUUAAAGGCAUUACAGAUACCUCCCUUACAGUUUGUUUAAUUUUUGAAGUAAAAUAAUAUUGAUAACUAUGGAAUACAAAAGAAGUAAUACCAGAAUUAACUAUUACCAACUAUUCUAUACAUUAUUAUGGAGGGCACGCAACAUAAAUGACUCCGAUGACAGAUUUGGUGACUGAUUUAUAAUCAAUUCAAAGUUUUUGCAAAGACCUUCGUUUUGUACCUUUUUCUUUACAGUUCAAAGAUUGGCACAUUUAAAUGUGAUAUGAAAGCAAAGCUUGAUGUACACUUGAGGGCACGCACAUACUUUACUGUAUGUGACAUAAACACAAUUUGAG